ACCUGUGUGGUCAAAUGGUUAACAUGCUUGGCUGCUAACCAAAAGGCUGGAGGUUCACGUCCAGCCAGAGGUA
rnacentral:tRNA from 1 species